AAAUAUAAUUAAUCGUGCGGAUUAAUAAUCCAGGACUCUAAAACCGUGUUGUUUAAAUUGAUCAUGCGUUGAUUUAAGCGUCAAGUCCAUCGGAGAGAUCAUCAUGUUCAUCUUAAUGCCCUUUUGUAUGAGCCACUUUUGCUGCAUUAUAGGUACCUUUGGGUAUUUAUGGUGUGGUAUAUAGCUUUUGCAAGGGCUGGUAGGACAGACAUUC
rnacentral:snoRNA from 24 species